rnacentral:rRNA from 1 species
CCUACGGGAGGCAGCAGUGAGGAAUAUUGGUCAAUGGGCGCGAGCCUGAACCAGCCAAGUAGCGUGAAGGAUGACUGCCCUACGGGUUGUAAACUUCUUUUAUAAAGGAAUAAAGUGAGGCACGUGUGCCUUUAUGUAUGUACUUUAUGAAUACGGAUCGGCUAACGCCGUGCCAGCAGCCGCGGUAAUACGGAGGAUCCGAGCGUUAUCCGGAUUUAUUGGGUUUAAAGGGAGCGUAGAUGGGUUGUUAAGUCAGUUGUGAAAGUUUGCGGCUCAACCGUAAAAUUGCAAUGGAUACUGGCAGUCUUGAGUACAGUUGAGGUAGGCGGAAUUCGUGGUGUAGCGGUGAAAUGCUUAGAUAUCACGAAGAACUCCGAUUGCGAAGGCAGCUUACUAAACUGCCACUGACAUUGAUGCUCGAAAGUGUGGGUAUCAAACAGGAUUAGAUACCCCAGUAGUC